UGAGAUCAUUUUGAAAGCUGA
rnacentral:miRNA from 5 species